rnacentral:tRNA from 1 species
GCGAUGAUCGCAUAGCCUGGCCAUUGCGCCGGAUUGCUAAUCCGGUGGGUCUACCCACGGGAGUUCGAAUCUCCCUCAUCGCGCCA